rnacentral:rRNA from 1 species
UCCUACGGGAGGCAGCAGUGAGGAACAUUGCACAAUGGAGGAAACUCUGAUGCAGCAACGCCGCGUGGAGGAUGACGCAUUUCGGUGUGUAAACUCCUUUUAAGAGGGAAGAUUAUGACGGUACCUCUUGAAUAAGCACCGGCUAACUCCGUGCCAGCAGCCGCGGUAAUAAUCUC